rnacentral:rRNA from 1 species
AUUGAACGCUGGCGGCAGGCCUAACACAUGCAAGUCGAGCGGCAGCGACAGUAACAAUCCUUCGGGUGCGUUAUUGGGCGGCGAGCGGCGGACGGGUGAGUAAUGCCUGGGAAUACGCCUUAGUGUGGGGGAUAACUAUUGGAAACGAUAGCUAAUACCGCAUAAUGCCUACGGGCCAAAGAGGGGGAUCUUCGGACCUCUCGCGUCAAGAUAUGCCUAGGUGGGAUUAGCUAGUUGGUGAGGUAAUGGCUCACCAAGGCGACGAUCCCUAGCUGGUCUGAGAGGAUGAUCAGCCACACUGGAACUGAGACACGGUCCAG